GACGAACGCUGGCGGCGUGCCUAACACAUGCAAGUCGAACGGAGUUUGUUAAGAUUGAGGCUUCGGCCAAUUUCUUUUUAAACUUAGUGGCGGACGGGUGAGUAACGCGUGAGUAACCUGCCGUUCAGAGGGGGACAACAGUUGGAAACGACUGCUAAUACCGCAUAAUGUCAUUUGGGGGCAUCCCUGAGUGACCAAAGCUUUAUGUGCUGAAAGAUGGCCUCGCGUCUGAUUAGCUAGUUGGUGGGGUAACGGCCCACCAAGGCGACGAUCAGUAGCCGGUCUGAGAGGAUGAACGGCCACAUUGGGACUGAGAUACGGCCCAGACUCCUACGGGAGGCAGCAGUGGGGAAUAUUGGGCAAUGGGGGAAACCCUGACCCAGCAACGCCGCGUGAAGGAAGAAGGCCUUCGGUGUAACUUCUUUUACCAGGGUACGAAGAACGUGACGGUACCUGGAGAAAAAGACAACGGC
rnacentral:rRNA from 1 species